rnacentral:tRNA from 1 species
CAAAAAAUAGUUUAAUAGAGAAUAUUAAUUUUGGGGAUUAAUGGUAUAUAUAUUUUAAUAUGUUUUUUUGA